GCUACAUACUGAGGCGCUGCUGGAGGCACUCUCCUCGUUGUUGGUUGGCGGAGCCGCUCCUUUCCGGGAAUGAGGCAAGGAAGCCGGAGCCUUACAGCGGGACUUAGGAGUCUUGGUCUGGGAAUCCUCAUACUCUUCCGCCUGGGCAAAAAGGUCGCUGAACCUGCAGGAGGAGGAAGUGAUAUCAUCAGCCGCCACAGUGAUGUCACCCGUCAGUGUGUGUAUGCAGUGGAGAACUGUGAGGAUGACCACAUCCAUAUGCCUACGCACUGUGAUGCAGAAACAGAAUGGGAGGAUCCAUCUGUCUCUGACCACAGCUACACUUGAAGUCCUGAAGAACCUGAAGUCACAUCUGAUAUAUGAGCACAAUGUGUUGAGCUGUCUGUGUUGUACAUAUAACUCUGAGGAACAACCGCCUUUGUCAUUUUUUCUUUAUAAACCUUUACAAUGUAACCACAUGUUACCUGUCAGUAAAUAGUUCCUUAUAAACCUUUA